CACUUGUGUAAUGGUGUCCACUCUUUGUUUUUCUAGUACAUUCUUCUUUUUCAAACAAUCAUAGAAGAUUCCCAGUGUGUGAACCAGGCAAAGAGCAUUGCCACCACCCCAGGGGACCGUCCCUCCCCCCAGAUCCUGCAGUGCCCUGGGGCUCCGAGGACGGCCUAACUGCCCGCGAGUCCUGGCUGGGACCACAGCUCUGCUUCUCCUCUCAACAGUCCAUCCGCCUCCGCGACUAACGUGCUUUCCUCCAGGAUGAAGAGUGCCUUUGGUAGGACCUAGGACAUCUGUGAGCAAAGGCGGACUGACGCCUAACAAGGACGGCCGGGGCCUCCAAACACAAGCCAUGAGAAUUGAGUUUCCUGCAUUUUUCAGGAUAACGUCAAUAGAAUGGCAAUAACUUGUCUGGGUGAUUUGAUUUUAUAUACACGAAUUUCAUCUCCAGUGGCAGCACAGUGACUUGGUCAUAAUAGAUAAAGGAAGAUCUAAAGCUGCCUGGACCGAAGGACGCUCUUGAUCACAUGGGAUGUAGCCGUGGCUGCGUGUCAACAGUGUUUCUGGUCAGAAUCUCCGUGUCCACGAGGUCAGUGGGUAGGUUACUGGAGGUACAUUGCAAAUCAGGGUACAAAGCCUGCUGUGCACCGAGAAUACACACCAGCUGGUGCUCGCAAGGACUGCCGUCCAUCGGUACAACUGCUGUCUUUCUGCUGCAUUUGGGCCUCUGGUGUACUAAACGAGCAGAACCUACCUGAGCUCAAGGACCCACCUCCUGGUGUUGGCGUCUGGGGACAGGUUGGGAGCUACACGCAGUAGAAAAGUUGUGGCUGGGAUGAGCUGUCAGUAGCUGCUGUUGGGGGCAAGUCAUCCCUGGGGCGUCCUGAACAGGCCCACGUGCAGCAGGGAACAGACGGGCUCCGCUGGGGCUGAGCGCCAAGGGCGGGAUGCGGUGAUCAGGCAAACGCAGGGUGACCCUCCGUGAACAGGUCAGUGACAGGCGGCCGAGUGCAGGUCCCGCUUCCUGGGUGGGGCGUGGGGACAGGACAUCCCAGCAGGGUGGCAGAGAAGACACGGCUGACACACAAGACUAGCCCCCAAGGCUGGGUCUCUUCGCUGCCAAAGCCAAGGGGCCCAUGAACUGUACGCCAGGACUCAGGUGGCUACGGCUUGUGCGUGGAUGCGGUGGGAACCAGUCUUCUCAGCGUUUUGUGUAACUGCAGAGGAAGGUGAGUUCUGACUGCGCUUCCCGUUAACCAUUACCACGUUAUAAAUCAGUGAAAAUUUACCAAACUCUAGUAGAGGCAGCUACACACCCGGGCUGACGACAGCCGUCUGGGCUCUCCCACCACGACGGCGUCACUGUGCCACCGCCGCCUGGCCCGAGGAGCAGCGCCACCUCCUUGGGACGUAAGAAAGAAAGAGGGUGUUCUUAUUACUUCUUCAAGGAGGUAGGAACCUAGUCUGGCUACAUAUCCCCGUCGUAUCUGAAGGGCUGUAUCUAGACUCGUGGGAUUUAGAGCUAGAUCGGUUCUCAGAAGUCGCUUCCUCCGAUUGUCUGUUGUUUCACGUGGAGAACGAGGCUUAGAGGGUACGUAGCUGCAGGCCUCUCGGCAGCCGGGGACGUGCCCCGCGCUGGUCUCCGAUGCCAGCAGUGAGUCCCUUAUUAAUUGUGACGUGUAUUAGCGGUAGUAGGUUUAUAUGUAGGCGUAUAUUGGUUAUAUUUGGUAUUAACUUGCCUAAUUAAUAAAUAGGCAGUAUUAGUGAAACCAAGAUUUCAGUAGGAUGGCUACUGGAAAACCGAAGGAGUUAAAUGUUUUUCCCAUUAGACUCAGUCGUCUUUUUCUAAAAUCAGCUGAGGAAGCUGUGUGACUGACAGAUGACAACGACCAGGAGAAGUUCAAGUAUUCUUUAUUCAAAGUUGAAAAAUGUACCACACUGCAUUAUUGCAAAAAUUCACUGGUACAAAACACUUUGCAGCUGGUGAGAAGGCAAUAAAAAGUUGAUUUUUAAACUCAUUACUAUAAAUUAUUCUUACAGUACUUUUAGCAAAUUCAGAAUUUCAAACUGCAUUUUCUUUUUCUAAAUCGCCCACAGUACUCGAGGUUCCUGAAGCUAAGGCAGCUGUUCCAAGAGGAGAAGGGGGGAGGUAGCAGACGUCAAGGGAUUUCCAUUUCUCUUUCGAUGCCCACGUACUUGAGGGCGUCAGCCUGGCUGUAUCUGAAACAAACAAACAGCAAGAAAAAGGGGUGAUAAAAGCUGUGACAAGGACUGAAGCCGUGUAGCUUAACUUCCAAACAAACCAAACCCACAAGCCCAAGCUGAAAAGGCAUUUUAAAUUCACUUCUCAUCAAACCCAACAGACUUGCCCAAUGAAAAUCAGUCCCAAGCAAAGUGAGUACAGAUGACGCCCGCGAGCAUCCCUCUGUCUGCAACUGGACGGCUGUGCCUUACCUCUCCGCAGUAUUCCGAGAUGAAUUCGUUCUUCUGUACAGGAUCUUUGAUGAAAAUCCCCCAGCCUGCCACAUCAGACGGUGCUAGCAAUAAAUGCUAGAGAACAAUAAACACAGUCAUAUGAUCAGAGGAGAGCGAAGAUGGACAAACCAGACAUGGGAUGACCCAGGGUAAUUCAACCACGGGCGGGGGAAGGGGUCAGCUCCCCCACGUUACCGAAGGGCUUGGCAAACUGCAAGAACGUUUUGGUUUUUGUAAAUCAAGUAGAGAGCCUGAGUAUCCUCUGUCUCUCUCAGAAAUACGACGUCACCUAUGCUGGUGCGGGUCCCUCCGACUGCGGUCCUUGCACGAGGCAUCCUGACACGCUGCACCAUUUGCUUCCCUGUCCGUCCUUCCGCCCUUGACUUCCUGGACUUCACGUGCAACGUGCCUGUCACACAGGGACCCCUUGCUCCCCCUCUGUCCGUGCCCCCCGCACCUCCCCAAGGCGGCCUCUAUCACCACCUCCUCCGGGUCCAGUCCCAGCCCCCGUGGGGCCCUCUCCUGGCUCUUCACCAGCUUUUAUUCCUCCCGAAGCGCUGCCCUUCCUUCCAGGGCGCUUUUCUCUUGGGCGCAUCCUUCCACAGCCCUUCCUCACGACAGCACGAAAAACCACCGCGAGGGGCAGCACGAUCCCGUGGGCCAGCAUUCUGUUCUUAGCGGAUGCCAAGAGGGCUGAUCACUGCUGUGGCUUCUACCGUUAGAGUCUGUUUGGGAAUGAGUCCCUGACCUUUCAUCGUGGCUCAUCAUUAUGCUUUCAUUCCAAGUAUCCUCGUGGCCUCGAAAAAGACUCCCGGGUCCCCAGGUUACCGAUCUGUGCUUGUUCUGACUCAGCCUACACUCCCUGUCGGGGAAGAAUUAACCAAGUACCUUCCUGACCAGCGAAAUACUGUUAAGCAAAUGAAACCCCGUUGGUACAAAGUAUCUACACAGUUUUCUGUUUUAGGAGGUAAAAGAUGUGUAGGAAGACAUGUCGCCAUUAGGAUUAUCCACUUUCUGAACUGAAGGAGGGGUUUUCAUCAUACAGUGGGAAAGUACAGGAUUGAGGGAGAAAUGGGAGUUCUCAGGGCUGAAUGGGUGUCCCCGGGAAACCACGCCAGCAUCACUGUGACGUGAGGACCUAGAGUAAAACCGUCUGAACGCCUGAUAGCAAACGCCACAGCCAAAAAUAUAAAGCCACUGCCAUAAACAGAACUUCCAGUAGAGCAGGACUGACAGUACUGCGAUCUCAGUUACAUUACACACUAGUUCAAGACCCUAAGAGAAGAGCGUGCUGCGUGCACACGGGGUGGUCACUCAUGGCACAGGGUCCGGGGCCGGAACGCCUGGCUGAGUUCCUGCUCCUUUCCUGACAAGUCUCAGAACGUUGGGUUUAAUGAUUAUUCCUAACUCAGGGAGUUAGGAAGACUAAUGAGUUAAUACACAAAGUGCUUAGACCAGGGCCUGCUCUGUAUUAAAUAAUAAAUGUCAGCUAUUAUUAUAAAAAUGAUUAACUGAAGAAAUCUAUCAGCUACCCUAAAAAGCCAAGAUACUGAUAGUACCCUAAAAACUAAGUUUCUUUUGGUCAGCAAUAAACUCCCUGGUUGCAACAAGUCAAGUCCAUGCAAUGCCCAGGCUUCAGUUAUGUAAUUCCUGCCUGUGUUAUUUUCAAGGUUAUUACAGAAACUACUGUGGGAAGUCCCAUCUUUUACUCUGUGCAAAAAGGAACCCAGAAUACUAUUUGAUAAGAAUGGGUCUCUCUGUUCUGACAGGAACACCACUGAUUUGCUCUAAGGAGACUAGAUAAACCACUUGUUCUGUUAACUAAACUUAAAAAAGAAAAUCGAAUCAUCUAUUAAACAACUAGAAAAAUACCUCUUAUUCAAAUCCGAUACCAUUAACAGCUGCUUCUCAGAGUUGACUGGUUCAUCCUAUAGCAAACUAUUCUACAGAAAAAUCAACCAUUUUCCUUUUAUCAGCUGUACCAUUCAAUAAUCACUUUUUUGCCCCAGCUAAAUGGUCUAAGACUAUCCUGACUUUGACAUCUCUCGGAAGCCCACCAACAACGAUCACGCCCUACCUUCUUAGAGCCCCGCUGAAUGCUACAGUUCUUGCAGGACACGUUUUUACUGUCCCAGUGGUCAGCGGCUCCACAAGUAAGACAGAGGUCGGGGUCACACUCUCGGACAGCCAGGUAGCACGGGCACUGCUUGGUGUUGCACUGGGCUUUGCAGCGGCAUCCCGGAAAGCGGUUCUGACCUUCAGAGAGAUGUUCUUCGUCAGACGAAAACCUUGCCUAAUGGUGCAGCUCAAGUCUGGCGCUAAGGCCCUGAUUAAUGCACGGAGGCCUCACAACAACUGUAUUAUCCCAUCGUACACAUGAGGAAAGGGAAGUAACAGGAAAGUUAAAGCUGUCCAUACUGAAAGAGAUCACUGAGUUCCUGUCUCCCCUUUUUUGUCUGUUAGAUGGCAUGUGUACGUACAGUUCUUUGAUUUAUAAAGCAGGUGUGAAGGAAGGAUUUGGACUACAUAAUAUCCACGGAUCUCAACCAUUCCGAUAGAGUUCUAGGUACUUCCUUGGUAUCCAGGCUUCAGUGCAGUUUCAUUAAAUCAUUACAGUCGCUACCCUGAUGCUACACAUUCCUGUAUUCUGAAGACUAAACCCACCUAACUCUUAACAGUUUCUGGUGUCCAAAAAGUAUUUGGGUAGCUAUUUCUAGAGUCCCCUUCCAUUCUGUGUCAGCUCUACUAUGAUUUAAGUUAAAUGAUCAAGGGGGAAAAAAUAAAAGCUCCUUUAACCCACAUUCGCCUAAACCUGCCCACAUACCCGCGUCAGCCAGGAGGCUGGCUGGAUACAGGCCCAGCGCCACUCCUGGGCGCCAUGCAUGCUCGUGGCAUAAGUGAAUUUCCCAAAGGGAAGAGCACGCAGGAGCUGCCGUGUCCUUGUGCCGACUGAGGUUACAGUUUUAAAUUGCUGACCAACAGCCUAUUGAAUUCUCACGUAAUCACAUCAAGACAACAUACUUACACUCUGAACUACAUUGACAAAACUUUUCACAAAAAUUCUGGGCUAUCACACAAGGGCACGAGCUGUCGCAAGGCUGCCGCGGGUGGUCACAGGGCUGGUAGUUGUAAACAUGGUUGGAGGAGCCGUCUGCACAGAGACAACAGCACCACGUCAGUCCAGAGAGCGGCAAGGGGAGCACACGCCCGACAAGCACAUGCUCUCCCCGUGGCCCUCCGAGCUUAGCGGGUUGUCUUUCCGUGUCCGCAACGUCACACACACUGUUUACAACAGGUCAGCAGAAAUUAGCCCCACCCGCCAAGAGCUCGGGAACCCUGGGGCACUGUCACACACACCUCAGUCAGGUUCCCAGAGUCGUUCUCCUCUAACCGACUGGAAAUUAAUCAACAGACAGCCUCCAUUUAAUGCACUUCUGUGCAUUAAACUUCAGUGCACCAAAGUCGGUUAUAUUAGAAUAUCCCAAACUCUAAUCCAAUUACUAUUCUAAGACACGAGAAGUAGACCGAGUUACUAAUGAAGCUGAACAGAAAGGUGCCGACCCUUCUUCAGCUGUAUCUUUCUGCAGUGCGCAGCCCACAACCUGCAAAACACAAAGGAAGAAAACAUCACCCUCGUGACCUGGGGCGCACAGUCAGCCACAUGUCAACAAUCGCAACUUAAAUGCGUCAACCUGGGCCAUGAAUGCAGCGGGGCUCUUAAUCCAAGUAACCAUGAAAAGAGGAG